UUAAACAUGAUUCCAUAUUCAUCUGUUUCCCCACAGCUGUUCACAAUGUUUUGGGUUGUCUACUUUCAGCAUCUCAGGAAGGUGGAGUAUUUGAUAAAAGUGGGGAAUGAACGAGGAAGAAGCAGAUACCUUUUGGAAUGCUAAUAAGAAGUAGAACUGGAGAGAUACACUUUCUCUGACUGGAAAACUAAGUGCAAUGCAAACAAGUCCUUCAACAUAGUUUGACUGUCCCACCUGGUAUAGAAUUAUAUCUAGUAAUAAAUUCACUAUCAGGACAUAACCA
rnacentral:lncRNA from 1 species